CUCGCCCCUCACCUGUGCCACUCCAUCCAGUACACUGUUGCAAUCCCUAUUCCCAUCUCUAUAAUCCGGCUGGAUCUCCAUUGCUUCGAUCUCCCUCUUACCUACUCCUUCCGUUUCAAAUUACUCGUCGAGUAAAACCACGACGAGUAAUUUGGAACGGAGGGAGUACAUCUCUGGCCAUGGCAUCUUCUGCUUCCUCAGUUCCUGUCGGAUCGGUCGCCGCACCCGAAGACGUCGCUCCUCUCCCCCUCAUCCGGUGCCCUAGAUGCAACAUGGGGGUGAUUUAGUGGUUCAUCUCCGAGACCCCCUUGAAUCCCAGUCGUCAUUUCUACAAAGUGUCACUUCCGCGAUUCUGGUCAUUGCACCUUCUGGGAAUGGGACAACAUGUACAUCGACUACCUACGCGCUCGAUAUGUUUCUUCCCCCACCUCCUCUGCUCCAGGAUCUUCCUACUGUGGUCCUGCAUGACAUUCAGUCCGACCUGAAGAUUUCACUGGCCGUCGCCCUUGGUACUCUUGCUGCUGUACUGACGCUUCUAGUCUCCAAAAUGUAGCUCCGUUGGAAUUAUGUAAUAGUUUUAUCUCUAAUUAGUAUGAUCACUACGCCAAGCAGCUGCCUAUCCAUGUAAUACAUAGUUCUGAUCCAGUGCCAUCUUAGUUAACUGUGGUAGUACCUCCGUAAAUUUUCAAUUCUGUCAUACAGAAGUUCUACUGUAACUGUCUCCAAUGCAAUAUAAUAUGAUUGUGUCA